rnacentral:rRNA from 1 species
GACGAGGGCGCGAGCGUUGUCCGGAUUUAUUGGGGCGUAAAGAGCUCGUAGGCGGCUUGUCGCGUCGACUGUGAAAACCCGAGGCUCAACUUCGGCUUGCAGUCGAUACGGGCAGGCUAGAGUUCGGUAGGGGAGACUGGAAUUCCUGGUGUAGCGGUGAAAUGCGCAGAUAUCAGGAGGAACACCAAUGGCGAAGGCAGCUC